AUUGAACGCUGGCGGUAUGCUUAAGACAUGCAAGUCGAACGGAAUCUUCGGAUUCAGUGGCGGACGGGUGAGUAACACGUGGGAAUCUACUGAGUAGUGGGGGACAGCCCGGCGAAAGCCGGAUUAAUACCGCAUACGCCCUACGGGGGAAAGGCGCAAGCCGCUAUUUAAUGAGCCCGCGUAAGAUUAGCUAGUUGGUGAGGUAAAGGCCCACCAAGGCAACGAUCUUUAGCUGGUCUGAGAGGAUGGCCAGCCACAUCGGGACUGAGACACGGCCCGGACUCCUACGGGAGGCAGCAGUCGGGAAUAUUGGACAAUGGGCGCAAGCCUGAUCCAGCAAUACCGCGUGUGUGAAGAAGGCCUGCGGGUUGUAAAGCACUUUCAGUUGGGAAGAUAAUGACGU
rnacentral:rRNA from 1 species